GUAAUGGCAGGUCAGCAUACUGCCGUGAAUACGUUCCCGGGCCUUGUACACACCGCCCGUCACACCAUGAGAGUUGGAGAUACCCGAAGCCUAUGAGCUAACUUUAGAGGCAGUAGUCGAAGGUAGAAUCAAUGAUUGGGGUGAAGUCGUAACAAGGUAGC
rnacentral:rRNA from 1 species